rnacentral:rRNA from 1 species
GACGAACGCUGGCGGCGCGCCUAACACAUGCAAGUCGAACGGAGUCAAGAGGAGCUUGCUUUUCUUGACUUAGUGGCGAACGGGUGAGUAACGCGUGAGUAACCUGCCCUGUAGUGGGGGACACCAGUUGGAAACGACUGCUAAUACCGCAUAAGCCCACGGAUCCGCAUGGAACUGCGGGAAAAGGAUUUAUUCGCUUCAGGUUGGACUCGCGUCCAAUUAGCUAGUUGGUGAGGUAACGGCCCACCAAGGCGACGAUUGGUAGCCGGACUGAGAGGGUGAACGGCCACAUUGGGACUGAGACACGGCCCAGACUCCUACGGGAGGCAGCAGUGGGGGAUAUUGCACAAUGGGGGAAACCCUGAUGCAGCGACGCCGCGUGGAGGAAGAAGGUUUUCGGAUUGUAAACUCCUGUCGUUAGGGACGAUAAUGACGGUACCUAACAAGAAAGCACCGGCUAACUACGUG